rnacentral:snRNA from 8 species
AUACUUACCUGGCAAGGGAGAUACCGUGAUCAAGAAGGCGGUUCACCCAGGGCGAGGCUCAGCCAUUGCACUCCGGCUGUGCUGACCCCUGCGAAUUUCCCAAAUGUGGAAAUCUCGAUUGCAUAAUUUAUGGUAGGGGGGGACUGCGUUCGCGCUCUCCCCUG